UACAGGGGGGGCAAGCGUUGUUCGGAAUUACUGGGCGUAAAGGGCCAGUAGGCGGCCGACUAAGUCCGACGUGAAAUCCCCAGGCUUAACCUGGGAACUGCGUCGGAUACUGGUUGGCUUGAAUUCGGGAGAGGGAUGCAGAAUUCCAGGUGUAGCGGUGAAAUGCGUAGAUAUCUGGAGGAGUACCGGUGGCGAAGGCGGCAUCCUGGACCGACAUUGACGCUGAACGGCGAAAGCUAGGGGAGCAAACGGG
rnacentral:rRNA from 1 species